rnacentral:rRNA from 1 species
UUUGAUCAUGGCUCAGAUUGAACGCUGGCGGGAUGCUUUACAUGCAAGUCGAACGGCAGCACGGACUUCGGUCUGGUGGCGAGUGGCGAACAGGUGAGUAAUGUAUCGGAACGUGCCUAGUAGCGGGGGAUAACUACACUUGAAAGCGUAGCUAAUACCACCUGCGCCCUUCGAGGAAAGCGGGGACCUUCGGGCCUCGCACUAUUAGAGCGGCCGAUAUCGGAUUAGCUAGUUGGUGGGAGUAACGGCUCACCAAGGCGACGAUCCGUAGCUGGUUUGAGAGGACGACCAGCCACACUGGGACUGAGACACGGCCCAGACUCCUACGGGAGGCAGCAGUGGGGGAAUUUUGGACAAUGGAAACACGAUCCAGCCAUCCGCGUGUGCGAUGAAGGCCUUCGGGUUGUAAGCUUUGGCGGAAAAGCUUUGGGAAUACUUUAUGUAUCAACAUUUUUCACAAAUAAAACACCAUUUAUUUUAGUACUAACAUAUUUGCGAUAUUGCAUCAAAUUACAGCAGAUCAUCAAUACAAGCAAUGAUGAGCAGUCAACGAUAAUAAAAUCUAAAGCUCUUUUGGAACUGCAUUUUUUAACUACCGAGCUAGAGUGUGUCAGAGGGAGGUGGAAUUCCGCGUGUAGCAGUGAAAUGCGUAGAUAUGCGGAGGAACACCGAUGGCGAAGGCAACCUCCUGGGAUAACACUGACGCUCAUGCACAGCGUGGGAGCAAACAGGAUUAGAUACCCUGGUAGUCCACGCCCUAAACGAUGUCAACUAGCUGUUGGGGCCUUCGGGCCUUGGUAGCGCAGCUAACGCGUGAAGUUGACCGCCUGGGAGUACGGUCGCAAGAUUAAAACUCAAAGGAAUUGACGGGGACCCGCACAAGCGGUGGAUGAUGGAUUAAUUCGAUGCAACGCGAAAAACCUUACCUACCCUUGACAUGUCUGGAAUCCCGAAAGAGAUUUGGGAGUGCUCGCAAGAGAACCGGAACACAGGUGCUGCAUGGCUGUCGUCAGCUCGUGUCGUGAGAUGUUGGGUUAAGUCCCGCAACGAGCGCAACCCUUGUCAUUAGUUGCUGAAAAGGGCACUCUAAUGAGACUGCCGGUGACAAACCGGAGGGAAGGUGGGGAUGACGUCAAGUCCUCAUGGCCCUUAUGGGUAGGGCUUCACACGUCAUACGAUGGUCGGGACAGAGGGUCGCCAACCCGCGAGAACCAAUCCCAGAAACCCGAUCGUAGUCCGGAUCGCAGUCUGCUGCAACUCGACUGCGUGGAAGUCGGAAUCGCUAGUAAUCGCGGAUCAGCAUGUCGCGGUGAAUACGUUCCCGGGUCUUGUACACACCGCCCGUCACACCAUGGGAGUGGGUUUUACCAGAAGUAGUUAGCCUAACCGUAAGGAGGCGAUUAUCACGGUAGGAUUCAUGACUGGGGUGAAGUCGUAACAAGGUAG